rnacentral:pre_miRNA from 1 species
AGAGUAAUGUCUUGUAGCCAAGGAUGGCUUGCCUACCUAAACCUAUUCUUAGGACUUUGUCUUAUAGAGUCCCUUGUUUGGUUUAUUAAUUGGCAAGCAUCUAUGGCUUGUUGACCGUCUCU